ensembl:lncRNA
CUACAGAUUUUAUUGUGGCUCAGUCACAUAGCCAUGGCUGACUGGUCAUGCGGUCAACCUUAGUCUCCAGAGGUCAAAUUCAUACCACAUGACCCAAGGACCCUUCCUAUAAAUCACACUGCUAGCAUAGGCUAUCUGGCUUGGCCAAAGGUCCCCAGGUUAAACAAAUCAAGGCAAGAUAUUCCUAGGUCUUAGAGGUUACCUCCCAGGAGCCAAGGGCAAAGGCCAAACCUCUUUGGGUGAAAGAUUAAUCGUUUAUUGUCCAUCCAGACCUUCUUGUUCCACUUGACAGAAUUUCUCUGCAACAUCCCUCCAAACUUACACCUCUCCUAAUCUAUUCCAUCCUCAAGAACAACACCAACCAUCAUCCAAGUGAUCAAGCCACUUGCACCCUAAUUCAAGCCACCAUCAGUUCUCACAUUGGGGGUUUCUGGCAAGUGCAGCUGGGUAGAUAGAUGAAGGUAGCUCAGACCGGGCGUUUGGGGGGCCCUGAGUGUGUUGCAGAGUGCUAGUACCGGCCCAGGAUGCUGCACCCUGGCCCUCCUUCCCCCAGAAGGACCCCGAACCUCCAGCCAGGGCUUACUCGGUUCGCCAAGGAAGCCUAGCUUCAGAGCCUGGACAAGAAGAUCUGCUCCCUGCCCAGUCCUGAGUCCCAGACGCACAACUCAGAAAGCAAAACUCAAGUUUCAGAAACUGCUGGGCCCCCAGAACAGAAGGGGAAGAAAGCACAUUAGAAAUCCCAGGUGCGGGUCCCUGUGGAGAAGCCUCAGGGCAGGAAGUCAGCGGCAGUGAAAGAGGAGGCGGAGGCCUUCAGCUCCACUGCGGGCCCUGCGGAUGGCCUGGCCUCAGCGCCCGACUCUUCAUUUGCGGUGGACGUCCUGUGACAGCGCCUGCAUGAGAAGAUAGGGGAGGCACGCAGCCAGGGCAACGCCAGGAAGCUGCUUCCCACCUCUUUGGGGAAAAGAUGCUGGAGGAAGCUGAGGCAGCAGGAGUGGGACCGGAAGUAGAGGGUGCGGAGGGAGCUGGGGAUGAAGGAGAAAGCCGCCAAGGUCUCCAAGAGGCCCCCUGAGCUGCCGGGCCAGCCGGGCUGCUCUUCACUGAGGUAGAGAUGAGUCAAUAAGAGGGGCAGGCCUGCAAGGCGCAGCGCAGGAAGGAGAGGAGGCAGAAGGUGAAGGGGCUGAUGGGCUGGAGCAGCUGCCAGACUGGGUCGCGGCCUAGGCCCGGGAACUUCAGGCCAAGAUGCAGGGACGAACCUGCUGUACAAGGCCAAGGGCGUGAAGAUCCUCAACGGCCAGCACCUGCAGCCGGAGGUCCAGGAGAAGCGGCGGGCGCAGCGCGGGUGCACGUGUGAGAAGCGCAGGGCCAGUGGCCCAGGUGGUGGGGAAGAUGCUGCUGCAGGACCGAUGGCGGCAGAACCUGCGCAAGAAGGCGGUCAAGGCCGAGGGGCGCCUGGAGAAGGGCCGCAUCCUGCACCCUGGUUCUGGAGACCGACCUGGCCUGAGGGCCCGGAUGCUCGACCCCAGGCAGGCCCUGGCUCUGGGUGGAGAGCGGACGCUGUCACACUCCGCUCAGCGACUUGUCCAGGGCUCAGGCCGCGUGGGCACAAGAGCCUUCAGAUCUGGGGAAGGGUUGAUCCACAUCUAGACCCCAGCCUCCUCUCAUGAGGCCAGAACGCUCCCUGAAAGUUGCAGGGUUGGGGACGAGGGAGCGGUAAGGAGGCGGUGAGCGCCAGGUAAGGAGGGGCGGGCUUCACUGACCCGCUCUGUAUCUCCCGAAUUCACAGGAGCAGAAGGGAAUGGCCUUUGGGACUGCUGUGUCAGCCCCAAACUCUUUUGAAAAGGACGAAAACCAGCGACUGAAGCCAGACCGAAGGUGGAAUUGAUGGUCUCGGCGACUGGAAGAAGGCGGGGCCAUCCUCAGGUUGCCUGGAAUUGAAUUAUUCUACGUUUAUUUAUAAGAUGAGUAAAGAUUAGAAUUUAAGAUAAGCAUGCACAUUUAAAAUCCUAAAAUAACCACAGAAGAUACAGUCUUACUAAACUAGGAGGAAGAAGUAUGGAGUGGGAUGGACAGUGUCAAUCUAGAAGGAGGUGGGAGAGAAAAACCUCCAGCUAAGCCAGAUGAAUGGAGGAUACACAGAGGCAGAGUUAAGUCCCAGCUCACAGCCAGCCAGGUGAAUUUUAUGGCACAAACAACAGAAAAUGACCAGCUAGAACCAGGCUGGAAAUGCAGAGGAUGACUUCGGAUCAUCGCAAUCUAUUAAGACUAUUAGUUAGGACCAAAGUCAUGCUAGAGGGAGCCGCAAGGAAGGAAGAUCAUUAGGAGCUGCCAUGAAAAAUAGGAAUGAUGUCAAAUGAGUUCAAUCAGACUGCCCAGAAAAAUCUUAUCAUCCAUUCACAAUCUACAGUAUUAGAGUUCUGUGUGCUCUUUUCUAAUGAUCAGUCUUCUACCUGUCAACUUAGAAAGGCCAGCAAAAUGCAGAGGCAAUCCUUCUUGUUCUGAUCGAUGGUAUUCCCACAAGAGUCUAAAGAUAAAAUGAGCCAUGAGUCCAGACUCGUAGGUACAUGAAAGUAACUAUUGGGAAGUUGUGCCCUGUGCUACCUUGGCCAAGGGCUACCUUUUCUCCAGGCUCUUGUGUAUUAAUUGUGAAAGGUUCGUGACAUUUCAGUAGAACUGAUAUAAUCAUUUGCAGAGAAAGAUGCCUGUCUUCAGAAUGGGUGUAUUUUAUUUUUAAUCUAAGUGAUAUGGGUUAGAAUUAUUAGUCUAUCCAAAAGAGACAUGACAAUAGCAUGGAUUAUCUUUAUCUACAAAGCUUUUCCCCACAUUUCAAAGUAGUUUCAUAUAUAAUAUCUCCUUGAUAUUCACCAAUCAUCCUAUGGAUGUGCCUCUCCCAGGGAGUUAUUACUUAAACAUUUAAGAUAAAGGAAUUGGACCCAGAGGCAUACAGGACCCAUCCAUAAGUAUAAGGCAGUAUGGGGCAGAUUUAGUCUCUAGAUUCCAAACCCCUACUAAAAGUUUACCUGGUUUCUGCCUAAAAUAUAAAUUUCCAGACAAGACAAAUGUGUAGUGCCAGGACCUAACUCACUGCACCAAAUAUUUCAAGUUCCCCACUGGUGGGUUUGCAUUUCUCUGCUCCUUGCAAUGAGGUGUGGCUAAGUGAUUUGCUUUGGCAGGUUGAAGUUUCAGCCCAGGGCAAGAGUAGAGACACUCUUUUCCUCUGCCAUUUAGGUGGUGGCUGUUCCACCAGCCUGGGUCCCAGAAUAAAGCCAAUGAGGAACAGAGCCCCUAGCUGACCCACAGUGGACCCGGGCAGGGGACAUAUCUUUGUUUUAUUGAGAUGCAUUGUUAUCACAGUACAACCUGACAUACCCUACCUGAUACAUUCCAUGCACAGGCUCACAU